rnacentral:tRNA from 3 species
GCACCCGUAGCUCAAUUGGAUAGAGCAUCUGACUACGGAUCAGAAGGUUCCAGGUUCGACUCCUGGCGGGUGCGCCA